rnacentral:rRNA from 1 species
AAUCAACGCUGGCGGCGUGCCUAACACAUGCAAGUCGAACGCGAAAGUCCCGAAAGGGAUGAGUAGAGUGGCAAACGGGUGAGUAACGCGUGGGUGACCUGCCUUCGAGUGGGGGAUAACGUUCCGAAAGGGACGCUAAUACCGCAUGACAUCCUGCUUUUGAAGGGGUGGAGAUCAAAGCCGGGGAUCGCAAGACCUGGCGCUCGAAGAGGGGCCCGCGUCCGAUUAGCUAGUUGGUGGGGAACGGCUCACCAAGGCAACGAUCGGUAGCCGGCCUGAGAGGGCGGACGGCCACACUGGGACUGAGACACGGCCCAGACUCCUACGGGAGGCAGCAGUGGGGAACUGUUCGCAAUGGGCGCAAGCCUGACGACGCAACGCCGCGUGGAGGAUGAAGAUCUUCGGGUCGUAAACUCCUUUCGAUCGAGACGAACGACCUCCGGGUGAACAGUCCGGAGGAGUGACGGUACCGAGAGAAGAAGCCCCGGCUAACUCCGUGCCAGCCGCCGC